AACAAAAUCCGGGCGGCGGAUCCGAAAAAAUAAUGCGAUGAAUCCGAAAACAUUGAUCGUUUGCGAAUUCAUCGCGAAUGUUGCCGAUUCUGGAGAAAAUGUUUUCGAUAACGAAAGAAAUUGCUUCCAAAAUCGAAAGCGCUUUGUUGCCGGCUUAUUUGAGAGUGUAGCAUGCCGCAGCCAAUGCGUUACGAACUGUCAAAAUCAGCCGCGAAGAAGAAAAACAACAAAACAAAAGUUGGUCUCGCGUUGAAGUUUUUGUUGUUUUUUUUCGACUUGUCCGCCGCGAUUUCGGUUCGUCAAAAUCUGUUCCCGACCCGAUCUGUUGGUCAACAGCCACGGCCUCAUCCAACUUCGUGACUGGAUCCGGUCAAUCCUCGGUACCCUGCAGUUUGCUCAUCCGCCGGGAGUUCUGAUCAUCCGACGUUCCGUUUGCUCUUUGGGGGCCGUCGCGACCACGGCAGUAAUGGCAGCCGACGUAUUUCUGCGGUACUUGAAGAAGGACAACCGCUUUGAGUACAACAAGCUUUCCUUUUUCCGGCCAUUCUUCAGGCCACCAAAUCUGCCAUUGAAGAAAAUCCGCUCCGCCGAACCAAGCUGGCUGCUCAACAUUACCCGGUUGCCCCGACGAUGAUGAUGAUAGCAGUUACUUUUCGAACUCGGCCCGAAGGGAGAAAUCGACCACAACGGGAAGAAUCCGCCGAUCCCCUUCCGGAAGUAGACCAGAAGCUGUUCGAAAUCAGCGAGGAGGACAUUAAUGUUCCAAGAUUGAAGCGUGGGUUCGACAAACACCUCGACAGACCCAACUGCUAGCGGAGAUUCUGUCAUGCCAGCACGGCGUCCAAACUGGGGCUCGUUCCAGGCGAACGGUCGCUCCGCUCAAGUCGAUCCUCCAGGUGAAAAUCGGAAAUGGAAUCACGAUCGUGGCGCAAUGCUUGGGCACCUUCGUUGCUCUUGUGGAGUCACUCGGGAUCCGGCAUGAAUCUGAGUCCGCACCAGAACCUUUCCCGAAGGCGCGUAGAGGAAAAGAGCCAAAAUCUCCAGGACGAGGAGAACUUCCGGCGCGCCAGCUCGGAACGUAGUCUAAAAUAGGACGCGGAAAUCAACUAGAUCGCCGGCCCAAGCACGCUGGAAUGAUAUCAGCAUCAUCUCUAUCCGAGUGGCCCCGCCGCCGACGUCACUCGCCCACUCUGUUGCACAAAACGCCAAACGCUGACAUCAACCGUGCAUCAACGAGUGCACUGCGGAAACGCCUCCUCCUCCUAAAGCAACUUGUCAACGGCGACGACGGCGCCCAGCAGUACCCAGCUGCACCACGGACAUCGAGGCCAGAUCGGACAAAUCGCUUCGUUCGAAUCGUCACCACUUUUGAUUCUGUUUUGAUAUGAACAAAUAAAUACAAUUUAAAUGAACUCUUCUUCUUCUUAUUUCUAUCGAAAUUUCGAGCAGCAACGGUCAAUUCAAAAAGGUAAAUAUUGAAGUGGCUGCGUUCUGCGUGCUUUUGGCGGGGUAUGCGUUACUGCGUUACGUUUGCGAUAUCGGAAAUAAUCGUUUGCGAUAUUGGAAGCAAUGUUUCCUGCUGACGGGUGGAAACCGAGAUUUGCGAUUUUUAGAGCAAAUCGAAAGCAAAGUUUCCGAUUCCGCAAACCGGAUUUUGU